GAUGAACGCUGGCGGCGUGCUUAACACAUGCAAGUCGAACGGAAAGGCUCCUGCUUGCAGGGGUACUCGAGUGGCGAACGGGUGAGUAACACGUGGGUGAUCUGCCCUGCACUUCGGGAUAAGCCUGGGAAACUGGGUCUAAUACCGGAUAGGACGAUGGUUUGGAUGCCAUUGUGGAAAGUUUUUCGGUGUGGGAUGAGCUCGCGGCCUAUCAGCUUGUUGGUGGGGUAAUGGCCUACCAAGGCGUCGACGGGUAGCCGGCCUGAGAGGGUGUACGGCCACAUUGGGACUGAGAUACGGCCCAGACGCCUACGGGAGGCAGCAGUGGGGAAUAUUGCACAAUGGGCGCAAGCCUGAUGCAGCGACGCCGCGUGGGGGAUGACGGCCUUCGGGUUGUAAACUCCUUUCGCUAGGGACGAAGCGCAAGUGACGGUACCUGGAGAAGAAGCACUGGCUAACUACGU
rnacentral:rRNA from 1 species